rnacentral:rRNA from 1 species
GUAGGGAAUCUUGCGCAAUGGGCGAAAGCCUGACGCAGCCAUGCCGCGUGAAUGAUGAAGGUCUUAGGAUUGUAAAAUUCUUUCACCGGGGACGAUAAUGACGGUACCCGGAGAAGAAGCCCCGGCUAACUUCGUGCCAGCAGCCGCGGUAAUACGAAGGGGGCUAGCGUUGCUCGGAAUUACUGGGCGUAAAGGGCGCGUAGGCGGACAGUUUAGUCAGAGGUGAAAGCCCAGGGCUCAACCUUGGAAUUGCCUUUGAUACUGGCUGUCUUGAGUACGGGAGAGGUGAGUGGAACUCCGAGUGUAGAGGUGAAAUUCGUAGAUAUUCGGAAGAACACCAGUGGCGAAGGCGACUCACUGGCCCGUUACUGACGCUGAGGCGCGAAAGCGUGGGGAGCAAACAGGAUUAGAAACCCGAGUAGUCC